UCGGGUGACAGGGAGACAGGUGGUGCAUGGUUGUCGUCAGCUCGUGUCGUGAGAUGUUGGGUUAAGUCCCGCAACGAGCGCAACCCCUACGUUUAGUUGCUAACGCGUGAAGGCGAGCACUCUAGACGAACUGCCGUUGACAAAACGGAGGAAGUGGGGAUGACGUCAAAUCAUCAUGCCCCUUAUGUUCUGGGCUACACACGUGCUACAAUGGCCGGUACAGACGGACGCAAAGCCGCGAGGUGGAGCAAAUCCUAAAAAGCCGGUCUCAGUUCGGAUUGCAGGCUGCAAUUCGCCUGCAUGAAGUCGGAAUCGCUAGUAAUCGCAGGUCAGCAUACUGCGGUGAAUACGUUCCCGGGCCUU
rnacentral:rRNA from 1 species